rnacentral:lncRNA from 1 species
GAAAAUUGGAUCCACAGUAUCAAAAGAUAACCUUUAGAUAUAUGUCAUCAAAAGACUCAAGUAAAGACAUUUACGAUCAAAAGAUGAUCACGUUAUAGUUAUCUACCAUUAUGUUUGCCUCUCCAUCAGCUUUGUUGAUGCUACGGAGGACCAACGAACGAUCACACGGCCUCCGUCUCCACCUCACCGUCGCUGCAGCAGUAGGUCCAGCCAUCGCACCCUCCGU